rnacentral:ncRNA from 1 species
AGGAGUACAAUCACGGCAGACAGACGGCGGGUGCUAACGUCCGUCGUCGAGAGGGCAACAACCCAGACCGCCAGCUAAGGUCCCAAAUACCAAUUAAGUGGGAAACGAUGUGGGAAGGCUUAGACAGCUAGGAGGUUGGCUUAGAAGCAGCCAUCCUUUAAAGAAAGCGUAAUAGCUCACUAGUCGAGUCGGCCUGCGCGGAAGAUGUAACGGGGCUAAAUUGGUAACCGAAGCUGCGGAUGCAUGCUUGCAUGCAUGGUAGAGGAGCGUUCUGUAAGCCGUUGAAGGUGAACCGGGAGGUUUGCUGGAGGUAUCAGAAGUGCGAAUGCUGACAU